rnacentral:rRNA from 1 species
CCCGCCGCCCUGUUUAUCAAAAACAUGUCUUUUUAGAAUUUAAUAUAAAGUCUGACCUGCCCACUGAAAAUAUUUUGAAGGGCCGCAGUAUUUUGACUGUGCAAAGGUAGCAUAAUCAUUAGUCUUUUAAUUGAAGGCUGGUAUGAAUGGUUGGAUGAGGUACAUGCUGUGUCAUAAAAAUUAAUAAUUGAAUUUACCUUUUUAGUCAAAAGGCUAAAAUUUUUUUAAAAGACGAGAAGACCCUAUAGAGCUUUAUAUAACUAAUAUUUAAUUUAUUUAGAUUUUUAAAAUUUAAUUGUUAAGUUGUAUUUUGUUUGGGGUGACAAUAAAAUUUAUAAAACUUUUAUUUUUAUUUAACAUUAAUUUAUGAUUAAAUGAUCCAGUUUUAUUGAUUAUAAAAUUAAGUUACCUUAGGGAUAACAGCGUAAUUUUUUUUGAGAGUUCUUAUCGACAAAAAAGAUUGCGACCUCGAUGUUGGAUUAAGAGUAAUUUUGGGUGUAGAAGUUCAAAGUUUAAGUCUGUUCGACUUUUAAAUUCUUACAUGAUCUGAGU